AUUGAACGCUGGCGGCAGGCCUAACACAUGCAAGUCGAGCGGAUGAAGGGGGCUUGCUCCUGGAUUCAGCGGCGGACGGGUGAGUAAUGCCUAGGAAUCUGCCUGGUAGUGGGGGAUAACGUCCGGAAACGGGCGCUAAUACCGCAUACGUCCUGAGGGAGAAAGUGGGGGAUCUUCGGACCUCACGCUAUCAGAUGAGCCUAGGUCGGAUUAGCUAGUUGGUGGGGUAAGGGCCUACCAAGGCGACGAUCCGUAACUGGUCUGAGAGGAUGAUCAGUCACACUGGAACUGAGACACGGUCCAGACUCCUACGGGAGUCAGCAGUGGGGAAUAUUGGACAAUGGGCGAAAGCCUGAUCCAGCCAUGCCGCGUGUGUGAAGAAGGUCUUCGGAUUGUAAAGCACUUUAAGUUGGGAGGAAGGGCAGUAAGUUAAUACCUUGCUGUUUUGACGUUACCAACAGAAUAAGCACCGGCUAACUUCGUG
rnacentral:rRNA from 1 species